AUGCACGCUGGCGGCGUGCCUAAUACAUGCACGUCGAGCGAACGGACGAGAAGCUUGCUUCUCUGAUGUUAGCGGCGGACGGGUGAGUAACACGUGGAUAACCUACCUAUAAGACUGGGAUAACUUCGGGAAACCGGAGCUAAUACCGGAUAAUAUUUUGAACCGCAUGGUUCAAAAGUGAAAGACGGUCUUGCUGUCACUUAUAGAUGGAUCCGCGCUGCAUUAGCUAGUUGGUAAGGUAACGGCUUACCAAGGCAACGAUGCAUAGCCGACCUGAGAGGGUGAUCGGCCACACUGGAACUGAGACACGGUCCAGACUCCUACGGGAGGCAGCAGUAGGGAAUCUUACGCAAUGGGCGAAAGCCUGACGGAGCAACGCCGCGUGAGUGAUGAAGGUCUUCGGAUCGUAAAACUCUGUUAUUAGGGAAGAACAUAUGUGUAAGUAACUGUGCACAUCUUGACGGUACCUAAUCAGAAAGCCACGGCUAACUACGUG
rnacentral:rRNA from 1 species